rnacentral:rRNA from 2 species
UCGUAGAGUUUGACCCUGGCUCAGCCACUCCUGUGGGGAUUCCAGGCGAACGAGGUGAGUAACACGUGGGCAAUCUGCCCUGCACUCUGGGACAAGCCCUGGAAACGGGGUCUAAUACCGGAUACUGACCCGGCUGGGCAUCCAGGGGGUUCAAAAGCUCCGGCGGGGCAGGAUGAGCCCGCGGCCUAUCACCUUGUUGGUGAGGUAACGGCUCACCAAGGCAACAACGGGUAGCCGGCCUGAAAGGGCAACCGGCCACCCUGGGACUGAAACACGGCCCAAACUCCUACGGGAGGCACCAUGGGGAAAUAUUGCACAAGGGGCAAAAGCCUGAUGCACCGCCCCCCCGGGAGGAAUGACGGCCUUCGGGUUGUAAACCUCUUUCACCAGGAAAAAACCGAAAGUGACGGUCCCUGCAAAAAAACCGCCGGCUAACUACUUGCCACCAGCCGCGGGAAUACGUAGGGCGCGAGCGUUGUCCGGAAUUAUUGGGCGUAAAGAGCUCGUAGGCGGCUUGUCGCGUCGGUGGUGAAAGCCCGGGGCUUAACCCCGGGUCUGCAUUCAAUACGGGCAGGUUAGAUUUCGGUAGGGAAGAUCGAAAUUCCUGGUGUAGCGGUGAAAUGCGCAGAUAUCAGGAGGACCACCGGUGGCGAAGGCGGAUCUCUGGGCCGAUACUGACGCUGAGGAGCGAAAGCGUGGGGAGCGAACAGGAUAGAUACCCUGGUAGUCCACGCCGUAAACGGUGGGCAUUAGUGUGGCGACAUUCCACGUCGUCGUGCGGCAGCUACCCAUUAAGUGCCGCUGGGAGUACGGCAGCAAACUUAAAAUUCAAAGGAAUUGACGGGGGCCCGCCCAAGCGGCGGACCAUGUGGCUUAUUUGGACGCAACCGGAAGACCCUUCCCAAGGCUUGACAUCCCCGGGAAACGUCUGGAGACAGGCGCCCCCUUGUGGUCGGUGUCCAGGUGGUCCAUGGUGGUCUUCAGCUCGUGUCGUGAGAUGUUGGGUUAAGUCCCGCAACGAGCGCAACCCUUGUCCCGUGUUGCCAGCAGGCCCUUGUGGUGAUGGGGACUCACGGGAGACCGCCGGGGUCAACUCGGAGGAAGGUGGGGACGACGUCAAGUCAUCAUGCCCCUUAUGUCUUGGGCUGCACACGUGCUACAAUGGCCGGUACAAUGAGCUGCGAUACCGCGAGGUGGAGCGAAUCUCAAAAAGCCGGUCUCAGUUCGGAUUGGGGUCUGCAACUCGACCCCAUGAAGUCGGAGUCGCUAGUAAUCGCAGAUCAGCAUUGCUGCGGUGAAUACGUUCCCGGGCCUUGUACACACCGCCCGUCACGUCACGAAAGUCGGUUACAGCGGAAGACCGGGGGCCC